UACGGGGGUGGCAAGCGUUGUUCGGAAUUACUGGGCGUAAAGGGCGCGUAGGCGGGGAGGUAAGUCGGGUGUGAAAUCCCCCGGCUCAACCGAGGAACUGCGCCCGAGACUGCCUUUCUUGAGUCCCGGAGAGGAAGGUGGAAUUCCCGGUGUAGCGGUGAAAUGUGUAGAGAUCGGGAGGAACACCGGUGGCGAAGGCGGCCUUCUGGACGGUGACUGACGCUGAGGCGCGAAAGCGUGGGGAGCAAACGGG
rnacentral:rRNA from 1 species